UACAGAGGUCUCAAGCGUUGUUCGGAAUCACUGGGCGUAAAGAGCGCGUAGGCGGCCAGAUAAGUCCGGUGUGAAAGUCAAAGGCUCAACCUUUGAAUGCCGCUGGAAACUGUCUGGCUAGAGUCCGGAAGGGGCGAGUGGAAUUCCUGGUGUAGCGGUGAAAUGCGCAGAUAUCAGAAGGAACGCCGGCGGCGAAAGCGGCGCACUGGACCUUUUCUGACGCUGAGGCGCGAAAGCCAGGGGAGCAAACGGG
rnacentral:rRNA from 1 species